rnacentral:snRNA from 1 species
CUGCUCACUUCAACAGCACACAUACUAAACUAGGAGUGAACAGAGAAGAUUGACAUGACCCCUGUGCAAAGAUGACAUGCUGAUUCAGGAACCACGGCAUGUAUUU